UCAGGACGAACGCUGGCGGCGUGCCUAACACAUGCAAGUCGAGCGGGACAUUGCGACGGACUUGAAGAUUCGGUUGGAUAGAAGAUGUAAUGUCUAGCGGCGGACGGGUGAGUAACGCGUGAGCAACCUGUCCCUUACAGGGGGAUAACACAGCGAAAGUUGUACUAAUACCGCAUGAGACCACAGCAUCACAUGGUGCGGGGGUCAAAGGAGCAAUCCGGUAAGGGGUGGGCUCGCGUCCGAUUAGAUAGUUGGUGAGGUAACGGCCCACCAAGUCGACGAUCGGUAGCCGACCUGAGAGGGUGAUCGGCCACAUUGGGACUGAGACACGGCCCAAACUCCUACGGGAGGCAGCAGUGGGGAAUAUUGGGCAAUGGGGGAAACCCUGAACCCCAGCAACGCCGCGUGAGGGAAGAAGGUUUUCGGAUCGUAAACCUCUGUCCUAUGUGAAGAGUAAGAGACGGUAGCAUAGGAGGAAGCCCCGGCUAACUACGUGCCAGCAGCAGC
rnacentral:rRNA from 1 species